GGCCAGACUCCUACGGGAGGCAGCAGUGGGGGAUAUUGCACAAUGGGGGAAACCCUGAUGCAGCGACGCCGCGUGGGUGAAGAAGCGCCUCGGCGCGUAAAGCCCUGUCAGCAGGGAAGAAAAUGACGGUACCUGAAGAAGAAGCCCCGGCUAACUCCGUGCCAGCAGCCGCGGUAAUACGGAGGAUGCGAGCGUUAUCCGGAUUUAUUGGGUUUAAAGGGUGCGCAGGCGGAUUUUUAAGUCAGCGGUCAAAUCGUGGGGCUCAACCCCAUCCAGCCGUUGAAACUGGGGGCCUUGAGUGGGCGAGAAGAAGGCGGAAUGCGUGGUGUAGCGGUGAAAUGCAUAGAUAUCACGCAGAACCCCGAUUGCAAAGGCAGCCUUCCGGCGCCCUACUGACGCUGAGGCACGAAAGUGCGGGGAUCGAACAGGAUUAGAUACCCCCGUA
rnacentral:rRNA from 1 species